rnacentral:rRNA from 1 species
CUCAUUAAAUCAGUUAUCGUUUAUUUGAUAGUACCUUACUACAUGGAUAACCGUGGUAAUUCUAGAGCUAAUACAUGCUAAAAACCCCGACUUCGGAAGGGGUGUGUUUAUUAGAUUAAAAACCAAUGCCCUCCGGGGCUCUCUGGUGAUUCAUAAUAACCUCUCGAAUCGCACAGCCUUGCGCUGGCGAUGGUUCAUUCAAAUUUCUGCCCUAUCAACUUUCGACGGCUGGGUCUUGGCCAGCCAUGGUGACAACGGGUAACGGAGGGUUAGGGCUCGACCCCGGAGAAGGAGCCUGAGAAACGGCUACUACAUCCAAGGAAGGCAGCAGGCGCGCAAAUUACCCAAUCCCGACUCGGGGAGGUAGUGACAAUAAAUACUGAUACAGGGCUCUUUUGGGUCUUGUAAUUGGAAUGAGUACAAUUUAAAUCCCUUAAC